GGCGGUUUGUCGCGUCUGCCGUGAAAGUCCGGGGGCUCAACUCCGGAUCUGCGGUGGGUACGGGCAGACUAGAGUGAUGUAGGGGAGACUGGAAUUCCUGGUGUAGCGGUGAAAUGCGCAGAUAUCAGGAGGAACACCGAUGGCGAAGGCAGGUCUCUGGGCAUUAACUGACGCUGAGGAGCGAAAGCAUGGGGAGCGAACAGGAUUAGAUACCCUGGUAGUCCAUGCCGUAAACGUUGGGCACUAGGUGUGGGGGACAUUCCACGUUUUCCGCGCCGUAGCUAACGCAUUAAGUGCCCCGCCUGGGGAGUACGGCCGCAAGGCUAAAACUCAAAGGAAUUGACGGGGGCCCGCACAAGCGGCGGAGCAUGCGGAUUAAUUCGAUGCAACGCGAAGAACCUUACCAAGGCUUGACAUGGACCGGACCGCCGCAGAAAUGUGGUUUCCCCUUUGGGGCUGGUUUACAGGUGGUGCAUGGUUGUCGUCAGCUCGUGUCGUGAGAUGUUGGGUUAAGUCCCGCAACGAGCGCAACCCUCGUUCUAUGUUGCCAGCACGUGAUGGUGGGGACUCAUAGGAGACUGCCGGGGUCAACUCGGAGGAAGGUGGGGACGACGUCAAAUCAUCAUGCCCCUUAUGUCUUGGGCUUCACGCAUGCUACAAUGGCCGGUACAAAGGGUUGCGAUACUGUGAGGUGGAGCUAAUCCCAAAAAGCCGGUCUCAGUUCGGAUUGGGGUCUGCAACUCGACCCCAUGAAGUCGGAGUCGCUAGUAAUCGCAGAUCAGCAACGCUGCGGUGAAUACGUUCCCGGGNCCUUGUACACACCGCCCGUCAAGUCACGAAAGUUGGUAACACCCGAAGCCGGUGGCCUAACCCCCUUGUGGGA
rnacentral:rRNA from 1 species